CUCUACUCCUCUCUUCUUUCCUCUCUCCCUCCCUGCUCCCCCACCUACGCCCCGAGUCGUAGACUCCCUUCCCCCCGGCGCUCGGAGCCUCCUUCCCGCCCCGCCGCGCAGGUGCAGCGACGGUCGCGUCACUGGAGAGUGUGUCGAGUCACAGGCGGUCUUCCGCGCGGAGCGUCUCCGGCGGACGCUGCGCAGAUGGCUGCGACUGUAGGAUUCUUGCCGGCUAGUCUCCGUCGGUUCCGUCUGCGUCAGGUUACUCGUGAAAACUGGAAUAAGUGCUAUUGAUGUGAAAUCCGAGGAAAAGAGCAUUCAGGGGGAAAAGUUAAAAGGACUUCUGACUCAAACUCCUCCUCUUGAGUUUGCAGUUCGCCACUUCCAGCCUGGUGACUAGGUGCUGAUUAAGACUUGGAAAGAAGACAAGCACCACCCAAGCUGAGAAGGUCCCUGUCAAGUGCUGCUGACCCCUGAGAUGGCCAUGUGUACAGCUGAAUGGGGGUGGACUCACUAUACUUGUCAAGGGACUGGUAAAAGAGACCCUGGAAGGGUGGGAAAAAGACCAGUGGAAAGUACGUGGGUCACCUGAGGAACCCUUAAAGUUAACUCUGAGAUGAAUCUAAAAAGAAAACAUGGGCUGGUCCCAUUUCUGGAAGUUAAUAUGGCUGGGAUGGGCUACUAUACAAAGAGAAGAAGGUCAAAGUAGAAACUAUCAGGGGACUCCUCCCUACCCACUCAGGUUGGUAAUUAAUGUAAACAAGAUG
rnacentral:antisense_RNA from 1 species